AAUGAACGCUGGCGGCGCGCCUAAUACAUGCAAGUCGAGCGAGAAGACGUAGCAAUACGUUUGUAAAGCGGCGAACGGGUGAGGAAUACAUGGGUAACCUACCCUCGAGUGGGGAAUAACUAGCCGAAAGGUUAGCUAAUACCGCGUACGCUUCUUGGACUUCGGUUCAGGGAGGAAAGCGAUACCGUGGGUAUCGCGCUCUUGGAUGGGCUCAUGUCCUAUCAGCUUGNGGUGAGGUAACGGCUCACCAAGGCUUCGACGGGUAGCUGGUCUGAGAGGACGAUCAGCCACACUGGCACUGCGACACGGGCCAGACUCCUACGGGAGGCAGCAGUAAGGAUAUUGCGCAAUGGGCGAAAGCCUGACGCAGCGACGCCGCGUGGGGGA
rnacentral:rRNA from 1 species